rnacentral:ncRNA from 1 species
AUAACAGGCGGAUAACUCCCAAGAGCUCUUAUCGACGGAGUCGUUUGGCACCUCGAUGUCGACUCAUCAUCUCCUGGGAUUGAAGAAGGUCUCAAGGGUUCGGUUGUUCGCCGAUUCAGGUGGUACGUGAGUUGGGUUUAGAACGUUGUGAUUCGUGAGACAGUUC